GGGACUCGCCCCGGGCUCGGCCAUUGGUCCAGUGUGCGUGGGGGGCGGGUCCUAAGCCGUUGACAGCUGUUGUGGCGGGGAGGAUUGGACCGUCCGAGGGAGGCUAAUUAAGGGUGGAUGGGCCGAGGGGAGCGUGUAGGUGGUUAAGUAUUUGCCUGAGAACUCAGUUAACUUCCUUCUUAGGCUUUUCCCCUUGCCCUUAACACACGUGGGGUUAAUUUGAAGUGGAUAUUAGAGAAAAAAGCCUCAAGGACUUCGACCUUUGAAGGUUCUCGGAAGCCAACCCCUUAAUAUACUAUCACGGCAACUGAUCAUGGCCCGUUCCUCCUACUUUCUUGGCCUGCAGUUUUGAACACUGUCUUUGGUCAAUGGCUUAAUGGCCAGAGAGGUGACAUCAUGUGGACACAGGCUGUGUUGCCAGAGUUGGCUACUUGGUGGAGAUCAUUUGAGGCAACCUGAACACAAAGGAGAAAAUAUCCAAUUCCUCAGGAGCAUCAAUCAUACAUGGAGGUCAGAAGAGGGAGAAAACUACAAAGUACUCCUAAAGGUCUGUUUCCAGCCCCAGUCCUUACCUCAGCCUGCAUUCUCCAGAAAUCAGCUUCUUUCAGGCUAUUCACCUCACAAUUGAUGACAAGAAUAUCUGGCAGAUGGCGGAUGUUGCGGGUCUGAAUCUGAGAAAAUAAAACAAACGAGGAAUGGCAGGGAGCCUAUAGGAAAAGAAACCCCAACAGAAACAGGUCUCCAGGCACUGACCUGACAAGGGUCACCUCGGGAGAGGUCCAACAUGUGGAAGAGGAAGCCCAGUUCGCAUGCCAGGCAGAAUUCCUUUUGGCAAAGGUGGUUCUGGAUUAGACAGCGAACAGGUUCCAGGAAAUAGAGCACCUGGAGAGAAAUUCCAGGGAGUAUACUCUGGCGCCUUCUACCCGCUCCUUCAACCCCUUCAUACCUGACUGGGAGAUAAUAGCAAGACGAGAGGUAUAUGUAGGGAUGAAGCGCAAGAAGGCAGGAUCCACGUGUACUUGAAGUGGCGUGAUGGCACGCAUCAUGCGCAGGUCAUACACCUUGAGGAAACGGUCACAGGCCAGGCCGGUGAGGCGGCUGGAGAAGCCACAGGCAGCCAGCAGGUUGCCGUGCACAUCAAAAUCCGACAGGCUCCCUGAGAAAGCAUCAAAUUCAUGCUCCACCUUAAAAGUACGGAGGUCUCGAAGGGAAACCUGAAGAGUUGAGAACUUGGUUAUCUGCCAACGCUGUUAUCAGGAAGAGGAACUGACAUCUACCUAACCCUGUGAGGCUCCUACUAAAAGAACUAAGGUUCUAGAAUACAGGCAAUUAAAGCACAGAAAAGGCAAAAUGAGAAGCCAAGGGCUGGAAGGGACCCUAAAGAGAACUCUCGUUUAUCCUGUUGCCUCCAAGGUACCCAUUCACAACAGAAAACAUCAGGUUGGAAGAUAAUCUUAUAGUGUAACAUGACUGAGCAGGAACUCAAUUCAUUCCUCCCACCCCACCAACUAAAGCCCCAGAAUUGAGGGAAAGACAGAGCCCAAUCACAUAUCUGUGAAACAGGGUCCUAUGGUGGGAGGGAAAAUGGAACUUCGCCACCUUGCCAGAUGUAUGGCCACAGAAGAAGAAGCGAUUUGUCUGCCUCAUGAUAGUGACUCCAGGCGUCUCAACUGCAUACUGGGGAGGGAAGCGGAAGGAACCAGUGAGAAUGAUUCUUCCCACAGACCAAAGGAACAGAAAGGUCACACACACAUCACAGGCGAUUCCAGCCCGGGUAUACUCCCCACUAACAACCUCAGGCCCUGGGUCCUGCGUGUACCUUCUGAGUCUCCUGGACAGUGUUAAGGUCAAUCUCCAGUAUGUGGUUCUGCAGCCCACCAACGAGCAGAGUGCUGCUGUCAGUCAGCAGGAGACUGUGCAUAUCCUCACUCUCAUCCAGCCUGUGGGAAAGGAAAAGCUGACGGGCCAGAGUCUCACAAGUUUCCAGUCGUUUAGCCUUCCCACUCUAUGAGGGACCCUCUUUCCCAGUCCAGAGGUGAGAAGCCACUCACAGGUAAUCAAAUAUAAUGAGACCCCCACGGGUCAUAUACUUGAGGUUGUUCUUUGUGAGAAAAAGGAUGCCAUUCUCCAGGCUCUGGAUCUGCCGAAUGUCAUCACUGCCAUUGACUUGAAAGGAUGAGUAGCGCUCCAAAGCUGGGCCGAAAAAUGAAGUGGCAUGGCCCUGUAACGGAUGAAAAGAUGAGACAACUUGAGUGGAGGGGAAGGGCCAUCCCAGAUACAAAUCAGAGACUGGACAUUGCUCAGUUUUUCUCCAUUCUUGCCUGGCCUUUCUGGCUGGCAGUGACCAAGGUAUAAGGCUGGGCACCAAUGUUAGUGAUAACGACACUGAUAAUAUUAUCUUAUGUUUGUUUAAUACUUUACAGAGUACUUUUGUAAACUCUACUUCAUUUUAUCCUCACAAUGACCCUGCUGAAUAGCUAAUGGCUCAGUUGGUUAUGUAACAGUGUUCAGAAGGUCAAGGACACAGGUCCAAUCCUCUAUUGGCCAGCUGGCUUUCUUAUGUUCCACAGUCAAGUCUAAAUCCAUGUGGCAAGUGUAUACUGUGGGUCAGACUACAGCAGAGAGAAUGUGAAACUCAUUCCACCCUUGGCUCCUAUGACAUCAUUCACUCCUGGUUUCACUCCUGACUCUUAGCUCAUACCUUCUCCUUAUGUGCAACCCUUAUGACCCCUCUUGAAAUAUGGCUAUUCCCAGCCCACUAUCUUCUCACUCUACUUGGUCUUCUUAGGUAAUCUCACCCCAUCUCAAGUUUUUAACCAUUCAUCUUAAAGCUGAUGAAUCCUAAUUUCCUUCCCUAGCCCGAACCAUUGCCUCAAGCUUCAGACUUACACAUCCAAAUUCCUACUAAACAUCUCUCCUUGGAUAUCCCAUAAGAACCCCAACUCCCCACAUCCUAAAUCAAAUUCACCAUUUCAAUUCUUCCUAAUUAUAUUCCCUAUGGUACCAUGAUCUACCCAGGAGUAAGUCACUGGUAGCUGACUUAAGUCUUAUUUAUUUACUUCCUAAAUAUUUCCCAAAUCAGUUCUCAUGAAUAAAUCUCUACAGUGCUUCA